GACAGAGGGUGCAAACGUUGUUCGGAAUUACUGGGCGUAAAGGGCGCGUAGGCGGCCUGCUAAGUCAGACGUGAAAUCCCUCGGCUUAACCGGGGAACUGCAUCUGAUACUGGAUGGCUUGAGAUUGGGAGAGGGAUGCGGAAUUCCAGGUGUAGCGGUGAAAUGCGUAGAUAUCUGGAGGAACACCGGUGGCGAAGGCGGCAUCCUGGACCAACACUGACGCUGAGGCACGAAAGCUAGGGGAGCAAACAGG
rnacentral:rRNA from 1 species